CUUUUGCUAAAAAAAAAACUUUUGACCUACCCGAUAGUCAAAACAAAGUUCACUCGACAUUAAAAAAAUUAUCUCCAUAGAAGAUAAAAUUACAGAGAUAAAAUGUGACUCAAUGAGUAUAUAAAUAACUCACUCAAUAAAUGUGAAAAAAAUAAGGUAAUUCAUUAACUCAAAUGGUUCCUUAUAAAAAGGAAUGAAAAAAAAUUGAUUUUGUUUGCUGAAUUAUGCUUAUUAAAAAAAUUGAGAAUUGCAAACAAAUGAAAACAAAUCAGGCUCACAUUGUAGACUGAUGGUAUUCCGAGUUUAAACGAAUGAAAAAAAAUUUGUACCACAAAGUUUUGUACAAUUCAAUUAUUGAAAAAAAUUAAAACCAAUCCAAUACGACUGAUAAUUUAGUAUUCCGAGUUAAAACGACAAAAAAAUUAGUAUACAACCUAUGAAUUAUGCAUGGGUUCAGAAAUCAAAGUCAUUAGUGAGAUCAAUUAAGUGCACAAAAAUUAACAAGUUAAAACUUAGAGAGAUUAAAAAAAAAAAGACUUAAAUUAAUAGAAACGCCUAGGCAAAAACAUNGAGAGAUUUAAAAUAAAAAAAAGACUUAAAUUAAUAGAACCGCCUAGGCAAAAACAUUGAACUUAACACCUG